CUCAAGGUGGGGAGGGCAGAGCUAGGGAGGGGUGAGCAUGUCUUGGGACCGGACAGCCAGGCGGCUGGCACCGCCAUCACCGCUAUCGCUGCUCCUGGUGCUGGUGCUGCUCUCACGAGCCGGGGCUCUGCAUCCUGAAGAGCACUUUCCUUAUGGGAAGUCGUGGGAAGAUUGGCUGCUGCGGGAGGGCGACGUUGAAAGCUCCGCGGCUGUGAAGCUGGCAGUACUUAGCAGUAGCUUCUAAGGUGUCCAGUUAAGCAACCUCUACGUGGGCACCAAUGGGAUCAUCUCCGCCCAGGACUUACCCAGGGAGACUUAAUAUGUCGUUGAUGAUUUUCCUACUGACUUCCCAGCCAUCGCCCCAUUCCUGGCUGACAUCCACUUGAGUCACAGCAGUGGCCGGAUCCUGUAUGGAGGACACCUCCUGGGCUGUGCUGAGUCUGGCUGCUUGAUACCUGUGCACAGGCUUCCCCCCACCCACUUCUUCCUGGCCACCUGAGAGCAAGUGGGCGCCUAGGAGGAGGACAGGCUUGGUUGGGGCUGCCUGGUCUGGAGAGGAUAUGGAGACUGCAAUGAUUUUAAUCUGGAGGAUGCGCUGAAAGAAACUUCCUCAGUAAAGCAUGACUCAAAGAAACAAGUCCACCAAGCAAACACAAGUGGUCGGCCAUGCACCACACUGACAAUCUUGCCUUCAGAAAAGUACACGCAUAUGAGACUAGCUGUACCUCCAUCUACCUGUUUGUUCUGUUGUGCAAGGCUUGUGUCGUUUUGUCAUACGUGUGUCAUCUUCCUUUUAAAUUUAGAAAAUUUCAUAAUUUUCAUUAUGUUGAAACCACAAGAGAACAUGCAUCUGCCUUCGCCUUUUUUCUGCUGUACAAAAAGAGAACUCCGACCCGUUUCAUUCCUCUCACUGUUUGGUUUUGAGACAGGGUCUCUUGAUUUAGCCCGAGUUGUCCUGAAAUUCUCUGUGCCUAGAAGCCCGGCUUUGACUUGGGUCCAGUGCUAGAGCAACAGUGACUCUUGGCCACUGAUGUGCAUUUCUAGCUUCAGAACCCAUGGCUUUUUAUGAUUCUUCAGUGUGAUCCCCACAAUGUCCUUGGGGACUUAUACCGAGACCAUUCUCACGAUGUGACUUUUGUAAACCAUAAAGCAGCCACUGUGUUUUACAAUCUGCUUCCUUUCGUCCUCCCUUCUCCCUUCAGAGAGCCACUUUAGCACCACGACUAGAAGGACAGGAACAACCAGAGCCCCAUCAAAUCCAGCAGAGAGAGGGGACCACAUCACCACUACUACAACGAGAAGGCCAGGAACAACUAGAGCACCAUCAAAUCCUAUGGAACUUGAUAGGUUUGACUUGGAAGAUGCCUUGGAUGAUCAGAAUGAUCUAGAUGGCCCCAAAAAGCCAAGUACAGGAGAAGGAGGAGGUAAGUUCUAGAUGCUCAACAUCACAGGCCAGUGCUAUAGUUCCUGGUAUGGUUUUUCUUAUACCUGCAAUGGCGUUCUGAGACGUCCAGUGUACUGUAGAUUUGGGCCAGAUCUGGGCCACAUUGAGCUGCAAGAGAACCCCACAACAGUAGUACUGAUAUAUUUUGGUCUUGGGAUUCUCCGAAUUAUUGGGAAUCUCAGUAACUAUUGUCUGUGUUUGUCAUAUCUACCUCUGUCUAUCAUCUAUAUAUUUAAUUUUUUUAAAAAAAUCAGUAUUGUUCAUAUAAAAUGGUAAUACUAAACCAAUACAUAUUAACAUAAAUAGCACAAUGUAUGAGUCUGUGUGUCGAGAGAAAAACAAUUUGUCAGAGAGUGGCAUUAUUUUAUACUUCUUAGAAAUUUCUAGAAUGUCAAUCUUGCUAGGAGAUACCUGGAUUCUCAUAUUGAGAUAUGCAGCUUGAAAGCUGUCCUCUGACCUACACACACACACACACACACACACACACACACACACACACACACACACACACACAAACACA